AGCGAACGCUGGCGGCAGGCUUAACACAUGCAAGUCGAGCGGGCACCUUCGGGUGUCAGCGGCAGACGGGUGGGUAACACGUGGGAACGUACCCUUCGGUUCGGAAUAACGCUGGGAAACUAGCGCUAAUACCGGAUACGCCCUUAUGGGGAAAGGUUUACUGCCGAAGGAUCGGCCCGCGUCUGAUUAGCUAGUUGGAGGGGUAACGGCCUACCAAGGCGACGAUCAGUAGCUGGUCUGAGAGGAUGAUCAGCCACACUGGGACUGAGACACGGCCCAGACUCCUACGGGAGGCAGCAGUGGGGAAUAUUGGACAAUGGGCGCAAGCCUGAUCCAGCCAUGCCGCGUGAGUGAUGAAGGCGUUAGGGUUGUAAAGCUCUUUUGUCCGGGACGAUAAUGACGGUACCGGAAGAAUAAGCCCCGGCUAACUUCGUG
rnacentral:rRNA from 1 species